GUUAGUCGUGACAACUGGAUUUGGAGGACAUGAUGGAUCAUCCUGCAAAGAUGUCAACUGUAGAAGAGCAGCAGCAGUGUUGUGUGUGUUUAGAGACGUGCAAAGAUCCAGUGUCUCUCAGCUGUCAUCACUGCUUCUGUGUCCACUGCUCGGACACACUCAGAGGACAACAUGCAAGCAAGACAUGUCCGCUUUGCACAAGGAGAAGGUCAAUGGAUACAACGCUGCUCUUUUCUGAUGGCAAAUAUGAUUUUGACAACGUCCAAUAAAAGAAAAAGUGCAUUUUGCCAAAGGACAGCGUCAUUGGAACUACAAACCACGCCCCCGACCACGCCCCCCUUCUACCCCGACGGGAUCUACUGAAAGAGGAUCUGCAAGUCUUGGACAGAGGACAUGAUGGAUCAUCCUGCAAAGAUGUCAACUGUAGAAGAGCAGCAGCAGUGUUUAGAGACGUGCAAAGAUCCAGUGUCUCUCAGCUUGGACACACUCAGAGGACAACAUGCAAGCAAGACAUGUCCACUUGGCACAAGGAGAGCAUCUUUCGAUCUACCACCAUGGAACAACUUUGUUUUGGAGACAAAGGAGGACAACCUGGGACACAAUAAGAGAACAAACAUUAAAAAUUCGGAAUGAAGAUGAGAGAAAAUACAAAUCAAGAUGAACAAGCAUUGUGGAGAAAGAAUGUGCAGGAAGGGAAUGUUGAACAAUGAAAUGUUUACUGAAGCUGGACAUGUUAAAAAGUGUAAAUAGAGCUGAUGUGGUACAAGAACUGGACUUCUAGGUUCAAAGUAGUCAACCUGGGACUUUCAGUACAGAUCAAAAGUUUGGUUGAAAAUGAAACGUCCAUUAAAUUAAUUCUUGUUUCUGGUGAUGGUUUUUAUAUUAGUAUUAUCUUGAUUUUGUAUGUACUUUGUCAUAUUUUAUUCAGUAUGGUACUUUUUCAUCACUUACAAUAUUGUUUGUUUUUGGUACACUAAUGUAUAUAUUGUUGGCCAUUGGUUCUUUGUUUAUCUAUUUCUAUAUUGCUCUUUUUUUAUCUUUGGU